rnacentral:snRNA from 1 species
GCGCUCGCUUUGGCAGCACACAUACUAAAAGUUGACAUGGGAUGAUAGAAAAAGAUUAGCAUGGCCUUUGUGCAAGGGUGACACACAAAUUCAUGAAGCAUUUCAUAUUUUU